GACGCCGAAGGGCCCGAAACGGAAGCGGAGUCUCCGCUGUCGUCGCCGGUAGAGUUCUCCGCAAGUAUGCGCCGCAUGGGGAGGAGCUCGCCGGAGGAGGAUACCUCUUCGACGGCGGGAAAGUUGGGGAGGGGACCGCGGAGGCCUGGGUUGCCGGCGAGAUGGAGGAACCGGAGUUUGCGCAAGCUGGAGAGGACCGGGGGAAUCCGACCCCUGAAGAGGUUGCCCCCGAGAGAGAGUCUCUCCAGGUUGCGCAAACCGGCGAGGAACUCAAGGGUGCCGCUGAUCUUGUUGUCGGAGAUAUCAAGAGUGCGGAGGCCGGAAAGGGAAGAGAUUUCGGGGGGCACCUGCCCGGACAACGCGUUACCGCUGAGAUUGAGGAUUUGGAGGCGGCGGCAGCCGGCGAUCUCCGGGGGUAUCUCGCCG
rnacentral:lncRNA from 1 species